AUGACCUUCUCCUUCAAGCUGGAGCUGAGCCGCUGCCGCUCUGCCGAGGGAUCGAUCCAGGUCCGGGCGGUGGCUCUAGAUGAUGGCUUCUUCCCGUGCUUCAACCUCCGCUCUGAGCUCAUUGCGUGGAAAAGAUCCCCUGGGCUGCUCCCCACUGUUGGGCCCCUGCUUGCUGCCAACUGUGUCAUCCUUCCUUCUGAAGCAUACUUCCCUGCUCAUGCUCGCGUACAAGCCCAUCAGGUUCUUGCCACCCGGCCCACCUGCUCCAGGCCCUUCAAACACGCUCUUGCCCUCGGCGAGGGCCUGCUAAACUGCGACCGCUCCCCUGUCGUCUGCUCCAAUCUUAAGCACAGAGCCUGCGCCAUGCUCCCCGCUCAUGUGGCGGCGGUCUUCUGCUCUUGCUACACGCCGCCACCGCAGCCUGCUGCUAGCGAUCUCCGCUCUUCCCCUCCUACGCUGCAGCUUCUUGGCGUGUCAGCUCCAACUGGCGCCCCGGCCCUACUCCCACCUAUUGGCCAGGACAAUGUGGAUCUGGCCCUUGGUGUGGGCUCUGACCCAGGCUCGGGCGAGCCGCUCCCGGCGACGGGCGUUGUCGUCGGCGAUGGAGGCUCGGCUGCCCCAGCAAUGGAGGCGCCUCCCACUGCCACGCGCCGCAGUCCCCGCAUCCUCAAGAUGUACGAUGGCGAGCGCGUCAGCUCGGUGGAGCGCGCUUCCAAAAGGAAGGCUGCUGAGCGUGCCGCAAGCUCCGGAGGCUCUCGCCGGUGCCCAAGCUCCUCUGCCAGCCGCUGCAAGAAGGCAAAGGUGGUUUCGGUCGCCAACCUCCUGGAUCUUCAGUUCUCCAGCACUCCAGGGCCAAGCUCAAGCAGCUCGCCAAGUAUUGCGACCUCAAUGUGGCUGCCAUCCUCGACGAAGCUUCUUCCUCUGCGUCGGCCGGCGCAGACCCUACUACGGCCUCUAACAGUUCUUCUGCUUCCUCCAUGGGUGACGCGUAUGUUCCUGAUGUGUAGGUCGCUUUUUGCUCUGCUAAAGCUGGUGUGCUCUGUCGUUGUUAGUGUCAGCAUGCGUAGUAUGCUUAGUUUGUCGCCUGCUUUUAUCCUAGCUCUAGUCGAUCUUGGGGCCUUUCCAGUGCCUCUCUAUGUUGCUGCUUUAGGGUGGUCUCAUGUUGGUUCAGUCUGUAUCGCGUCUGUUACUACUUUGCUCUCUGCUGCUAUGUUAACGAGAGCAUGUUUCUUAUCUUCCUUCAUGCUCGUCCCCUCUCCUCUUUUGCAUGGGCAGUUUGCACCUUUAUCCAUGAAAGUUCUUGAUUGGAACGUUCGGGGCCUGGGUGAUGAGAACAAGUGUUCGCUGGUUCGAGAUGUUAUAACACCCUGUCGCCCUAGCAUUCUUUGUUUGCAGGAAACCAAGCUGGAAGUAAUCCUAGCCAAGAAACUGCAUAGUUUCCUGCCGGCCUACCUCGAUCAGCAGUCCAUCAUGCCCUCAUCAGGCUCCUCUGGUGGCCUGCUCAUGGCUUGGGAUUCGUCUGCUGUCUCCGAGCAGAUCCUUGCCACGAACAAGUAUCAUAUCACAGUCAAGCUGUCAUCUACAUUUUCCAACUCUACUUAUGUUGUUACUACGGUUUAUGCGCCUUGUGUUGCUCAAGAGAGGCCAUUGUUCUUUGAAGCAAUUGAUAGCACCGUACAAGCAGUCUCUGAACCUUGGUUGGUCCUCGGUGACUUCAACAUGUAUCGAUUCCAGGAUGAAAAAUCACGAGGACGUGUGGAUUGGGCUAUGAUGGAGCUGUUCAAUGACUGGAUCAGAGGUGACGAGAUCUGCAGUUUCUCCCAUGCUGCUGCCAACGGCCAUGCCAAGCGCAACAAAGUCCGUGUUCUGGUUCAGGAGGGAGUGGAACACUUCGAUGAUCAACAGAAGUUGCAGCUUGCCACAGCUUAUUUCUCUGAGCUGUUGGGUCAACCGUCCUCCUCACUGCCCCUGUCGACCUUACUGCUAUGUAUGAGCCUACAGAUUUCUCUUGGCUUUCUAGAGAGUUUUCCUGGGAGGAGAUUGUUCAAGCAAUCAAACAUUCACCGAACAAUUGCAGCCCUGGCCCGGAUGGGUUCACAAAUGAGUUCUAGAAAGCUUUCCACGACGUUAUCAAGGAGGACCUGCAAGUCUUUUUUGAUCAGUUCUUCCACAACCAGUGUGCCUAAACUUGCUGGCAAGGUCCUUGCUCGAUGUUUACAGCUGCAGAUACCCUCUCUGGUUCACUCCCUGCAGUCAGGUUUCAUCAAGGGUUGGUCUAUCAUUGAGAACUUUGCUAUGGCUACUGACAUGGUUCAAACUGCUCAUAAGAGGAGAAUACCGAUAGUGGUCCUUCAACUAUAUUUCCAGAAGGCGUUUGAUACUCUUAAUGGUGAGUCGGGGGAGUGUUUUGCUGCAAAAAGAGGUUUCCGUCAGGGCGACUCCAUCUUGCUGUACCUAUUCAUUUUGGUUGCUGAUGUCCUUCAAAGACUUUGCUGCUCACGUUUUGAAGAUGGAAGUCUACUUCACCCGCUUGGCUCUGAUCGGAUGUUCCCUAUUCUGCAGUACACUGACGAUACAUUGCUUCUGUUCCAGGGUAAUAUCCAGCAAGCGGCAAUUGUUAAGAAAAUCUUAGCUGACUUCUCAGCCUUCACAGGACUGCAUAUCAACUUCCAUAAAAGCACCUUGAUCCCUAUCUGCAUCGACUCCAUCAGCACGGAGGAUAUUGCCGACCUGUUUGGAUGCCCAAUAUCAAGCUUCCCGUGCACUUACUUGGGCAUGCCACUAUCCUUACACAAGAUUAAGCAUGGAAUCCAUCAGCAAGUUGGAAAAAUUGUUGAGGGCUUUCUUUUGGCAAGGCAAGAUACAGUUAAAGGUGGCCAAUGCCUAGUUGCUUGGCACUUCGCCACUCUACCACGAUCUUCCGGUGGUCUGGGUAUCAGGGAUCUUUCCCCUCAUAACCAAGCGCUGCUCAGCAAGUUCACAACUAGGGUUUUGCAAUCCUCGGAUGUCCCAUGCUUUCAAUGGUUUGCUCAACAGUACUGCAAGCAUAAUAUACCUCUGAAAAACUACAACCGAGACACGGAAAUCCGGAAGAAUUUCAAGCAGUUUAUUCCUGUUGUUCUAGCGUCCUCUCAAUGCUCGUUCGGUAUCGGCGCACAUACGUCCUUCUGGCAGGACAAUUGGUUACCGGUCGGGCAACUCUGCUUCGCUUUGCCGACCCUCUUCUCUUAUGCCAAGGAUGUCAGUUGCACAGUGGCUUCUCAGUUCUCCCACGGUACCUGGCGCAUUCAGCUCCAUCUUAACCUAUCAGCUACUGCCAUUCGGGAAUUGCAGCCGCUGCACUCUUUUCUUGCAGUUGCACCAGCAGCAUCCGAUUAUGACAUCAAAACUUCUGCUAUACAUCAUAAGCCCAUCACUACAUCCCAGGUUUACCAACUUCUUACUUUCAGAGCUUGUGACCCGCUUACAGCCAUGGCACCACGGUGCUCAAUGUUUGCCUCUAAGCACUCUGAAGAAUUCUACCACUUCACUUAUGUGGAAGUUUUGCUCCUGCUGUCCUGGAACGUGUGGCGAGGGUUGCGUUUUGCUUCAGUUCUGCUUCGAGCCACAAGAUGGCCAUUCCACAGCUCCAGAGAGCAGUGCUUACCAUACCAACUUUCUUACCGAAGACAUCAUGAGCUUGAAUUGACUUAUCAGAACUUCUAUCAGGAAGUGGCGAGUGGAAGCAUCAAUAUCAUGGUUGUUGCACCAUACAUUAUUUCUGACAUUAACAUGCCACUAAAACCCACUAACAUCCUAGGACUAGGAAGCAUCAGGAUUUGUGACUACACCUGUCUAGAUUUCUACACACGAGGUAACAAGAUCAGUGUGAUUUCCGGCUGGAGGUGUAUUGCUUCCAAGGGCUAG
rnacentral:rRNA from 1 species